rnacentral:lncRNA from 1 species
CAGAGGUGUCCUGUUUAUCUGUGUGACUCGGCCCUCUUUGGGUCACAAAGGCCAGAUGAUCCAGCAGCUACCUGGAGGGUGGUUUAUGACAGCAGCCUGGUCCUAGUUCCCUUCUGCCACCAACAAGCUUGGCCAGCUUAGGCAGGCAACAGAAGUUUCACAAGCACCUACCUCACACCGGGCACUGAGCUGGAUACCAGGAAAUGCAGGGAUGUAAGACACAUCUUCCACCCUCGGGCUAGUGAAUGGACAACUGGGACCCCUGUGACGAGUGCUGAGAGGGAGCACCAGUGCUAAGGAAGCAUGGGGAAGGGGUUCUAGCCCAGCCUAGAGGUUGGGGCCAUGCCCCAAGGAAGGUGAAUUCAGAAUGGGACUUGAAGAAUGAACAGUAAUAGCUUAGGCCUGAGACAGAGGGAAGGGUGUUUGAAGCACAGGGAACAGUGCAUACAAAGGCCAGAAGACACAAAGACCUUGUGAGGAGAGCUGCAAUUAUUCUAGUUAGGAUGGCGGAAAUGACCAGGAUGAGGCCAGUACCGAGGGCUCUGUCUGCCACGAUGAGGAUAUUACUGUGUUCUCUAGACACCAGGGUGCCAUCAAAAGGCUUAGCAUGGCAAGGCACCAACUGUGUUUCAUUUUUUACUUUUUUAUUUUUAUUUAUUUUGACAGAGUCUCACUCUGUCGCCCAUGCUGGAGUGCAGUGGCACGAUCUCGGCUCACUGCAGC